rnacentral:rRNA from 1 species
UGAGUAACCUGCCCUUAACUCUGGGAUAAGCCUGGGGAAACUGGGUCUAAUACCGGAUAUGACUCCUCAUCGCAUAGUGGGGGGUGGAAAGCUUUAUUGUGGUUUUGGAUGGACUCGCGGCCUAUCAGCUUGUUGGUGAGGUAAUGGCUCACCAAGGCGACGACGGGUAGCUGGUCUGAGAGGAUGGCCAGCCACAUUGGGACUGAGACACGGCCCAGACCUCCGUACGGGAGGNAG